AAAGGUCCAGAUGAGUCUGGGAAUUCUCAAAAGUGGAAAGCUGAUACGAGAUUGGAAGGUGGAUACCGUGGUUCGACGAGUCGACGGGUGUUCUGUACUUACUUUUCUCAUGUCCCAGCUAAGUCCCCAAGCAGAAUCAGAGGACUAGCUCCCCAGCAGAUUCCAGGUCUGUGAUUUCCCCAGCCGAGUCAAGAUGGUUAUCUCCGGUAGGUUCAAC
rnacentral:lncRNA from 1 species